GUGGGGAAUCUUCCGCAAUGGACGAAAGUCUGACGGAGCAACGCCGCGUGAGUGAAGAAGGUUUUCGGAUCGUAAAGCUCUUUCGUCAGGGACGAACGUAUUUCUUGUAAAUAAUGAGAGAUAGUGACGGUACCUGAAUAAGAAGCCACGGCUAACUACGUGCCAGCAGCCGCGGUAAUACGUAGGUGGCAAGCGUUGUCCGGAAUUAUUGGGCGUAAAGCGCGCGCAGGCGGGAUAUCAAGUCUGUCUUAAAAGUGCGAGGCUCAACCUCGUGAGGGGACAGAAACUGGUAUUCUUGAGUGUCGGAGAGGAAAGUGGAAUUCCAAGUGUAGCGGUGAAAUGCGUAGAGAUUUGGAAGAACACCAGUGGCGAAGGCGACUUUCUGGACGAUGUCUGACGCUGAGGCGCGAAAGCUAGGGGAGCGAACGGGAUUAGAUACCCUUGUAGUCC
rnacentral:rRNA from 1 species